GAAUGACUCUCCGCUCUCUU
rnacentral:snRNA from 1 species